UGCUAAAGGGAUUUGCCAGUCAGCUCCGCGCGUGCCGCACCGUGUCUCGUCUCAAGUCGCGUAGGUCCCCAAUCCCCACAGCACAAACCCUAGCCUCCCCGAGCCCCGCGGCGCCGCACUCUCUCCUCCUCCUCCUCCUCCGUCCUUCCUCGUCAGCCAUCACAGCCAUUCCACCUCGCUCCUCUCUGUCCGACGACCAUGCCACCGGGAGGAAGCCACCGCGCAAGAGGUCAGGGGCCGCCACCACCGCGAGCUAGUGGACGCCCGUGGCGAGCCUUUGGGCAGGAAGCCGACGGGGAGCACGCAACAAAGCCGCGCCCGCUGCCAGGGUCUUCCCGCUGGAGGUGGAGGAGCAGGGGAUCCCGCCAGAUCCGAGGCGUGAGGGCGCGGCGGCGACCUGCAGGCAAAGGGCGACGGCUGGGGCGCUCGAUUCGGUCCAGUGCCAUGAGCCUCUCCCUGCAGGGUAGAGAGAAGAUGGGGGAAAGAGAGAAGGAAGGAGAUGAGGGAGAAAAGGAGAGGAAAGAGGAGAGGGAGGUGCAGCGGCAGAUGAAGAGGAACACCGGCAGAAGUAAGACAUUGUGCUGUUGAAGGAAUCCAUCAAGAACUGGAGGCACUGGCCUACGACAUGGGCAGGUAUGUGCUUCAUGAUUGUUGUUGGUUAAUUGAGAGUAUGUGAUGCUUGAAGAAAUGAUGUGCAAGCAGACUAAAUCUUUUAUCUACAUCUACAACUUAAUGUUUCAUGUUAAGAAAAGUAUAUCUCAUAUUUCCCCUUAGUGGCGGAGAGCAUAUUUGAGCAGCUGACUGCAGACUGGUCAUUUGCGUCAGUUUGAUUUGUUUGCGUAUGUUCACUGUUUUCUGUUUUCCAAGUGUUGAGUGGCUACAGUUUUGUCUGCUUUGCUGCUGUUGGCUACAUUUUUGUCCGCUUUGCUGCUGUUGUGCUUGACAUGAGCAAGACUAGGGGCAUGACAGUUCCGCACGGGGCAUAAAAAAUUCAUAGUAUCAGUGUCCAUGCCUAUAUGUCAGGUUAGGGUGUGUUUGGUACAGGGAAUGAAGUGGAAUGUAACGGGUCGGACCUGCACCUGGGAGCGAUUCCUGUGUUUAGUUGAAAAAGGGAACGGAACGCACUGAUUCCCUGGAGAGGAAUAUUCCCUCUAUAUGCCGAACCGGGUGGUUCCUCCAAAUUGGCUGGACCACGCGGAAUGCGUCUCUCUCGCGUCGUCCCCCACUCACCAACGAGGAAGGCGUCCUGUGCGGCGCCCCGCUCCCUCUCCCUCGAUGGGCAUGGCGGCGGCCAUACACCUCCCCCUCCUCUACGGCACCCCCUCGCCGCGGUUGGAUAUGCAGCCUUGUCGGCGUCUCCUUCCCCUCGCCGGAGAUGCAGCUUCGCCGCGUCUCCUGCCCCUCGACCAAGGAUCUAGGAAAGGACGGGGCGGCUCCCUCUCGAUCCGGCCUCUCCCUCGGCUCGCCCUCUGGAACGACGGCUCCUCCCCCGUCUUUCUCUCGUCAAGCAGCAGCUGAUUGCUCCCUCCUCCCGUUCCUCUCACCCAGUAGGAAGCAAUGAUGGCAGGUCAGAUGCAGCCGAUUUGUUGGGAAGCAGAGCAGAUAAGCAGCGGUCGGCUCGGCUUGUCUCCUUCCCGGCAGCUAGCCGGCCGGUGGCAUCCAGACACCUGGGCGGUAGCAGCAAGAGAAGCAUCAGCGACGGCAAGAGCAAGCUCCUUCGAUUGACUCUUUCUAGCUUGGCAUUCUCCGUCCAAAAAUCAGUAGUACUCAAACUUGAUUAGUGCUAGCUUUGUGUGCUCUGUGUUGAGACUGGUAGUAAUAAUUUUUGUUGUCAUUAAUACUUUGUGAUCUAGAUUUUGUGCUUCAUGAACAUUUGUUAUUUAUUUUCUGAAAAGUUGCUUUGACUACCAUUUUUAUAUAUAAACAAUCAAAUAUCAGGUUAUAUAUUUCAGUGAUAAAUCAUUGUGAAAUUAAAAUGUUGUUCAAAACUAUUUAUACUUGCGAGUGGAGUUAUAAAUUAUUGUGAGUGGAAUCAAAUUCAUUCGAUUCAAUCUCUCCAACCAAACACCGAAAUGUAACCAUUCCAUUCCAUCUACUGUGCUCAAGCAAACACAGAGACGGAACCGACCCAUUCUAGUGGAAUGGAACCAUGACAUUCCAUUCCACUUCGUUCCGCAACCAAACACACCCUUAUAUGCCUUUGUAAGGUAAUCAGUCGUGUAUGUCAAUGGCAGUGGUUUAAAAUACGUAAGCUGAUGCAUCUUGUGCUUGCUUGUCACUGUGUUUCUACUAGGCAAGGUCUGCAAUAGAUUAUAUAUAUAUUCAUUCAAAUAUGACGUGGUCUUCUUCCUUUGCCUUCGUUAACAUAUUUAUUUGGGCGUUCCUUUUCUCUGUACUUUGUUUGGGCAGUAUUUUUCCCUACACAUGUCCUUUUCGAUUAUAAGUUCAUGAGCUAAUUUGGUCAUAAUGUAACCCGGUCCUAAAAGUACUCUUGCACUGCAGAAUUCUCUUAUUUACAUGUUUGGUCAUGAUAUAGCUCUGUCCUAAAUCUACUUUGCUUUCAGUUUGAAUCUGUCAUGACCUGGGUAGAUAUACUCUAGACCACUGUUCAAGAAGGCGCUACUAGGCGCUCGCCUAGGCGCGCUUAAGCUCUGGGCGCUGGCAUAGCGCCUCGCUUUGGACCUAGGCGCUCAGAAAAGCGCCCAGAAAGGUCCUCCGGCAAGAAAUCGUGUUUCUCAGGCAGGAAAUCAAUCUCCCCAGCCAGGAUUUGACCUCCCCAGCAAAGAUCCAUCCUCCCCGACGAGGAUUCAACCAAUCCAGCAACAAAUCAACUGAUUCCGGCGAGAGAUCAAGCAUUUCCGGUGAGAAAUCGACUGAUUCCGGUGAGGGAUCAAGCAUCUCCGGCGAGAAAUCGAGCUUCACUGGCUGACUGGUUCCCAUGUGCAGCAAGGGAGAGAGGAAGGAGAGAGGCGGCGUGAGGUGGAUCCCUAAUUUUCUGUCGACUGUGCACGUAUGGGAGGCUUUAGUAGGAGAAUUGAAUAGAUGGGCCAGUGGUUUAAUGGGCCAGAUCAGCCCAUCUACCUUGUUUCUUCAUGCUACAGUGGAAACGCCUAGGCGCGCCUAGGCGACGCAUAAGCGGGUUGUGCGCAAGUAGGUCACAAAACGCAUAAGUAACGCCCAGCGCCUUCUUGAACUUUGCUCUAGACCUUGAUAUAUGAGUACGUAAUGGAAGAAGUGGACAUCUUGGUCACUGCAGAUUUUCUCUGUUCAUUUAAAAAAGAGUGAAUUACAAAAUUUGUCAUGACCUGGAUAGAUAUACUCUAGACCUUGAUAUAUGAGUACAUAAUGGAAGAAGUGGACCUUGAUAUAUGAGGUAGCUAUUCAUCCAUCUUGCUUUUUAGAAAAUUUGUGACCACAGAGGCCGAAGACGCCACCCUGUAAUGUCGCGCUGAUGGUAGCCCAUACUGCUUUGCCGAUGAAUAAUAUCGUAAGUGUAACAGCUAAUGUUUGAAUUUUUCAUACCGCUUCAGCUAACCUAUGAAUAGGUCUGCACUCUGCACCUACAUAUUUUGAUGAUCGUACACUGUUGCCGUGGCUGGCCAAUAUGAUGAUAUGUUUAAUGAAGGUUUUGAAUAUUCUAUUCGCAUAGCUCUGACAGGUAAGGAUACUUUAGGUUGCAGCUCAACUAUGUAUCUUUGGAUAUUAAUCUUACAACAUUUUAUUUCUUCUGUUUUUGGACUUCAAAUUUCUGCGAAUUGUGGCUUAACUAUGAUACUUUAGGUCGCAUGCUAAACUAUGUAUAUGUGAAUUGUGGCUCAGCUAUGAGGUUUCUAAUGAACAUUUUGGGUAUUCUAUUACUACGUCUUUGAAAGGUUAGGAUACUUUAGGACUCAGCCAUGCCUCUCAGUUUCCCGCCUUCCCCACUAAGCCAGAAGAGGUGGUAUAGUGGAGCAAGCAUCAGGUACUAAUCAGGUUAUUGAUGCCGCCGGAUAGCUGUCGUUGGCUAUAAUGUGAUUAGCAGGUGUCAAGCCCUCCGACGCCCAGCCGUUCGCUGUUGUCUCUGCCCGAAGAAGGAUUAUGGUCCUCCGCCUCUCUGCUACUCCUUUUAAAAUUCUGGUAAAAACACCGGCAUGUUGUUUGAGGUGCAUGCAUCGGUUGUAGCGAAGAUGUCCAUAUGACGAUGCAUUGCUAACCAUGGAGCACCGCAAGGAUUUAGAAUAUGUACCGCAACUUAGAGACUUGGCACAUUGCCACUUGCUCCUAUCACCAUGCAAGUGGUCGAUGCUUUAGUGUUGAACUAUUAAUUAAUCCAUCGUUUUUCUUUAAUCUAUGUGAUGGUGCCCCUUGCCAUAAAUACUUGUUAUGUGGAUUCAAUAGAAAUGAUGUUCUAAGCAUCUUUGAUCGUUAUAAAACAAAUGCCAUAGACGUUCAA